GCAGCCACUCAUUCAAAGAGUGCGUAAUAGCUCACUGGUCGAGUGAUCCUGCGCCGAAGAUUUCCGGGGCUAAAACUUACUCCCGAAGCUACGGCAUCAGUAAUGCUGGGUAGGGUAGCUUCCCAUACGGGUUGAAGCAUGACCGUAAGGACAUGUGGACAGUAUGGGAGUGAGAAUGUUGGCAUGAGUAGCGAGAUGUGGGUGAGAAUCCCACAGGCCGUAAACCCAAGGUUUCCAGGGGAAGGUUCGUCCGCCCUGGGUUAGUCGGGACCUAAGCUGAGGCCGAAAGGCGUAGGUGAUGGACAACAGGUUGAUAUUCCUGUACUACCGAUAACCGGUUGAGAGAAGGGAUGACACAGUAGGAUAAGCUAAGCACACUGUUGGUUAUGUGUGCCCAAGCAUUGAGGCAGUCAAAGUAGGCAAAUCCGCUUUGAUAAUGCUGGGAUGUGAUGGGGAGCGAAAUUUAGUAGCGAAGUAGCUGAUUUCACACUGUCAAGAAAAGUCUCUAUCGAGGUUAAAGGUACCCGUACCGCAAACCGACACAGGUGGGUGAGGAGAGUAUCCUAAGGCCAGCGAGAGAACUGUUGUUAAGGAACUCGGCAAAAUGACCCCGUAACUUAGGGAUAAGGGGUGCCACCAUCAGGUGGCCGCAGAGAAUAGGCCCAAGCGACUGUUUACCAAAAACAUAGGUUUCUGCUAAGUCGCAAGACGAUGUAUAGGAGCUGACGCCUGCCCGGUGCUGGAAGGUUAAGGGGAUCUGUUAGAGCAAUCGAAGCAGUGAACUUAAGCC
rnacentral:rRNA from 1 species